rnacentral:rRNA from 1 species
CGGUCACGUUCGUUGCUUUCAGAGCCUAAGUGUAUGCGCCAAGCGAAACUAAGACAACACGCAUCUCAAGGUGAGAAGGGGUCAAAGUGCCAGCGACAUACGUAAAGAAUAGGCUCUUGUUGAAACGCAAUUAAGCAGACAGAUCACUCCACGAACUAAGAACGGCCAUGCACCACCUAUCACAUAAUCAUGAAAGGACUAGCAUCUUUCAUGAGAUAACGCAAGAAGCGAUAUCAAAAUUGCCUGUCAAUCCUCAGUGUGUCCGGACCCGGUAAGAUUUCCCGCGUUGGGUCAAAUUAAGCCACAUGCUCCAC